rnacentral:misc_RNA from 1 species
CAACCCUUAAGCCUAGCUUAGUGUUAGGAGCUUACAGUGAUGUAACUCCCUAAAGACAGUGGCAGAGCUAUAUCAACUCUCAGCGUAGUAAUUUUAUCUCGCUCUUGUAGUUUGGUUUAGCGAUCGCCAUAAACCUCUAUUUUCUAAUGG